rnacentral:rRNA from 1 species
CCUACGGGAGGCAGCAGUGGGGAAUAUUGCACAAUGGGGGAAACCCUGAUGCAGCAACGCCGCGUGAGCGAUGAAGGCCUUCGGGUCGUAAAGCUCUGUCCUAAGGGAAGAAUACUGACGGUACCUUAGGAGGAAUCCCUGUCUAACUACGUGCCAGCAGCCGCGGUAAUACGUAGGGGGCUAGCGUUAUCCGGAAUCACUGGGUGUAAAGGGUGCGUAGGCGGUAGGGCAAGUCAGAUGUGAAAGGCCGGAGCACAGCUCCGGGAUUGCAAUUGAAACUGUCUUACUAGAGUGUAGGAGAGGAGAGUGGAAUUGCAAGUGUAGCGGUGAAAUGCGUAGAUAUUGGGAGGAACAUCAGUUGCGAAGGCGGCUCACUGGACUGUAACUGACACUGAGGCACGAAAGCGUGGGGAGCGAACAAGAUUAGAUACCCCAGUAGUC